CAAUCUUCCUGUUUUCGUCUCCCAGUUGUCAUCGACUUACUCAUGACAGUAAAUAGCAUUGCAUACCUGGGAAUUCUUGCUGUUACAGAUGGACCCACCACAUGCACAGCUCGAACCUGCCAGACUUCUUAACUCCUUCUGCUCUGUGGAGAAGAUAUUGCAGUGCAGUUGUUCCUUCCAUGGGAUCCCCACUCCUUCUGUGCGAUGGUGGGUGGACGGUGCCCCUGUGGAUGUGAACAGUGGACAUGGCCACUUCCAGGAAGGGGCCCUUUGGCUCCCCAGAUUUUCCUGGAAGCUCUGCUACGGGGUGUUGUCUAUGCAGCCAUGGCAAUCACACUACUUUUUCUCUGCCUCCUCCCCUUCAUAGUGAAACUUCUCAGGACAAAGCAGGCAAAGAAGUGUGCACAGAUGAGAGAACAGAAGAACUCUGUGGCUGGAACAGACCAGGGAUCCCAUUUGAAGCCCAGGGAGCCUAGGAAAUCCAGAACUAAGCUACCCUCUGAGGAGCAGCUCUCGGAAAAAGAAGAUAAUCUGAAGCCAAGGAAGACCAUGGAAACUGCAUCAUGUACAAAGUUCCCAUCACCCUGGGAAUUACAAAAGCCCAUGGAGAC
rnacentral:lncRNA from 1 species